GGGUGUAUAGCUCAGAAGUAGAGCAAUUGACUUUUAAUCAGUUGGUCCAGGGUUCGAUCCCCUGUAUUCCCUC
rnacentral:tRNA from 1 species